GCUAAUGUGAGCACCUCCACCAGCCCUGCUUUCUUUGAAUUGAGCUUGCUACCUCUGUACCUCAUCAGGAGCAAGGCAUGAUGUUCACCUCGCACCCCCAGAGCAUCAAAGGGAUGCUCUGUACCUCCAGGGCUGGGGCACCUGAAGGUAUCAGGACAGAGCGAGAUGCCACUAACUGGUCCAAGGGGAAGCUGCGAGAGCUCUUGGUGGGCAUCGUUGUGGAGAGUGAGGCUGGCCGCUGUGAGACCAGUGCGCUGAAGCAGGUGGACGGUGAGGCUUCAUGCAGCAAUCGCAAAGGAAAGCUGAUUUUCUUCUACGAGUGGAACAUCAAACUGGGCUGGAAAGGUACAGUUAAAGAAUGUGGUGCAAAACACAAGGGAUUGAUUGAAAUACCCGACCUUUCUGAAGAAAAUGAAGUAGACGACACUGAGGUGAACGUGAGUAAAAAGAAAGGAGAUGGGGAAAUACUGAAGGAUCUUAUGAAAACUGCAGGCACCGCCAAGGUCAGGGAGGCCCUUGGAGAUUACCUGAAGGCACUUAAGACGGAAUUUACCAUGGGAAUGAUUUUACCAACAGAAGCUUUGACAAACCAGGAAUUGACUGUUAAAAGGAAACUGAGUGAAAAUACCUUGCAGAUUCAGGCCUCCUCUCCAGUGGCAUUGGGUGUAAAGAUUCCCACUGUGGCUCUGCCCAUGACAGAACUGUUUGAUACAACGGUAGAACAGCUCUACAGCAUCUUCACUGUGAAAGAUCUGGUGCAGAAAUUUUCUAAAUCUUCUGCUGUAUUAGAAGCUGAAAAAGGAGGAAAAUUCCAAAUGUUUGAUGGGACCAUCACUGGUGAAUACAUAGAACUGUCAAUAAACAGAAAGAUCGUCAUGAAAUGGAGAUAUAAAAACUGGCCAGAAGAACACUGCAGAGGAUCCUGGCUAUCACUACUGAAGAAUACAUGGAGCAGGUCUCUUGAGGGCCCAAUAAGGGAUAUAUGGAGGAAGGGUGCAUGUCUUCUAAAGACUUAUCAGGUACAGGAAAAUCACCCAAAGGGAACAGUUUUCUAACAGCUCUCAGGCACAUCCUUGGAGACACAACAGUAUUAUGAAGAGUAUGGGCCUGGGGAUUUAGCUCAGUGGUUCCGGCAGCUGCUUCGCAAAUGCAAGGACCCGCGUUUGAACCCCAGUACCAAAAGGACAAAAAAAAAAAAAAAGAAGCAUGAGUAUUUCCUCCCCUACAUAGUUCACUGAUGGUUGUUUUCUACUGCUCAUACACCCCCUUUCAAAUUUUUCCUCCCCUGUUUUAUGAGACUUACCUCCUAAUUACUCAUAUAUGCACCUCUGCUUCACACAAGUGAGCCCACUCAGCUUGCUCCUGGCACUGCCAGCUCCAAAGCACAGCUGGCACUAUAGAACUCAUCUUGUCCUCGAGAUCAGAGCUAGGGAAGUCAAACUCUAAACCUGUCUCCCUAGGCAGAGCAGUUUUUUGUUUUGAAAUUCUGCUGGGGAGAUGGUGGAUUUGGGCUUCUGUGUACAAAACUGAUUAGUCCUACUCCACACUCUUUCAUAGGCCAGCUGAAACUCUGGGCAGAACUAUUCAAUGGAAACCAGAAUAAAGCUCAUAGUA